UGGUGGUGGAUUUAGAUAUUGACCAGCCUCUUGCAAGGUCAGUACGGUGAAGGUGUUUUUAAUGCACGGAUGAUGAUAAUAUAGCAUUUAGUCCAGUGGAAGCCAGUGUCUUUUUUGUUUUUGUCUACUCUGAGAUGAGAAAUGUUUUCUGGAGUGAUCCUGUGCACUUUGUGAAAAUGUCUUCUGAUGUCAGCCAUUCCUAUAUUGUUUGAAAAGCUAUGCAAUUUGAAAUGCCAUCGCUUAACGCAUACCCUGCAUGAAGUCUUGAGACUCCACAGGGGAUGUUGCACUAUCCUAUUCAUUGCACAGAGCUGCUCCUCUGGUGCUGGAGCGUUGUGAUUCCGCUCGCUGUGGAUUGUGGGAGUGUGGCUGGGAGACGCAGCUCUGCCGUCUCUGAGUCUGUAGUGUAUGUGAAGCGGAGAGAGGAACAGCAGUAGACAUAUUGAAACAGUGCUUUAUCCUCACCACACUGAAUACUGGCACCUCACAAUGUCCAGCCGAGGAGGAAAGAAAAAGAGCACCAAGACAUCUCGCUCCACGAAGGCCGGCGUGAUCUUCCCUGUGGGGCGCAUGCUGCGCUACAUCAAGAAGGGGCACCCCAAGUACAGGAUCGGGGUGGGGGCGCCUGUGUACAUGGCAGCCGUGCUGGAGUACCUGACAGCUGAAAUCUUAGAGCUGGCGGGAAACGCUGCUCGGGACAACAAGAAAGGCCGGGUCACUCCCAGACACAUCCUGCUGGCGAUCGCCAAUGAUGAAGAGCUCAACCAGCUGCUGAAAGGAGUUACAAUCGCCGCUGGAGGCGUGUUACCCAACAUUCACCCUGAGCUGCUCGCCAAGAAGCGGGGUUCAAAGGGCAAGCUGGAGGCCAUCAUCACCCCCCCGCCCGCCAAGAAAUCCAAGCUCCCCCCGGCCCAGAAAACAGGGCCCAAGAGAGCAGGGGGCAAGAAGGGAGCUGGGGGCAAGAAGAAGAAGCAGGGAGAGGUCAGUAAAGCAGCCAGCGCUGACAGCACCACCGAGGGGCCCCCAGCGGACGGGUUCACUGUCCUCUCCACCAAGAGCCUCUUCCUGGGGCAAAAGCUGAACCUCAUUCACAGUGAAAUCACUAACUUGGCUGGGUUUGAUGUGGAGGCUGUUAUCAAUCCUACCAAUGCUGACAUUGACCUUAAAGAUGAUCUAGGUAAAGGGAAGGUGUCUAUUCUCACCCACACACUGGCUUGCAGAGCUGCAAGGAAUACAACUGAAGUGAUGCACAGAGCGCGCCUUUCCCAGAGCAAGCAGGCAUUUAUAUACAGUAUAUAUAUAAUUAUCCAUGCGUAUUCACAAGAAAAGGAUUGUAUUUGUUCAAGGUCUGUAUUGCAUUUAUUAACAGAAGCAUGGAGGGUUUAUAUUAGCGCUAUACAAGCAGCCCUGCUUGUGGUGAAGGCACACUGAUGCACUGCAUACAGGAUGAGAAUAUGCAAGUUGCAUGGGAUAUGUUUGAUAUUUAAAACCAGUCAUUUCAGUUCUUUCCAUGACAGCUCUGAAGUUCACUGUUAAUUGUUUCAUGUUCUGUAAAGAUACAGGAAAUCCUUGACAAGUACAAAAAUAAACUAAAUAAAUGAAUACCCUGUAUAACUCCUGCAGAAUCAAAUGAAGCAGCGUGUUGCUGCAUUACAUGUGAAUCCUACAGCAGUGUCUGUGACACAAGAGAAAGCAGUUAUUUAGUUUGUCUUUCAAGGAUUGUGCCGAAUCUCUGCAGAGAGGGUGUGACAUAAUGAAGUUGUGAUGAAGUUGUGCUUGCUGUGACUGCGCUGUAUUCCAUGCGUCUCUCCGGUCUCCUCGAGGAUCUCAUCUUCCAUCACACUUCAGUUGAUUGAUUUUCAGCUUGCCGUCUCUCUCUCUCUCUCUCUCUCUCUCUCUCUCUCUCUCUCUCUCUCUCUCUCUAUUUGUUUUUCCCACGAGCCUGGCCUGGCCUGAGAGGAAUUCUUUCCUAAAUGUUCCCAUCCGUUCCCAUCCUGUCCCCCAGUGGUUCUGACUCCAUGUUAUUUGCCUGCUGUUGUUGUAGUUGCAAGUUGUUCAGGCUGACAUUGCCACCAUCGACUGCGACGCUGUAAUCCACCCGACCAAUACUGAUCUCUACACAGGAGGGGAAGUAGGGAGCGCUCUGGAGAAGAAAGGGGGCAAGGAGUUUGAGGAGGCGGUCAGCGAGCUGCG